rnacentral:lncRNA from 1 species
CUGUUAGCCACUCUAGCACUGAGCACUCAAGAGGCAGACAUAGACUAGGAGGUCCACUGGCUUCUGGACCAAGGUCUCACUAUGUUGCUUGCCCCAGUUGAUAGUGGAACCAUAAGCUCCAGCAAUCGAUCCUCCUGCCUCAGCCUCCUGAGUAGAUGGGGUUACAGAUAGAAAUGACUGUGGGAGCUCAGAAAGCUGAGGCAGGAGGAUUGCUUGAGUCCAGGAUUUUUGGCAUCAGCCUGGGACGCACAAGAAGACCUUAAAACAAAACGGAAGUAAUGUGACGUUAUUCCACAGAACUUUGACUAUGCUAACGGUAGAAUGAAGCCACAAGUGUAGUAUUUUGUUAUUAUCCCAAUGCAGCCUCAUUUUAUAGGAGACUAGAUGUUAUAAAUGAGGUCAUAAAUAAAAGAAAAUGGC